GACAGCUGUCAGGGGUUACAUGAGAGAACUUCAUGUAACCCCUGACAGCUGUC
rnacentral:pre_miRNA from 1 species